AAUCAACGCUGGCGGCGUGCCUCAGACAUGCAAGUCGAACGAUUAAGACUCUCUUCGGAGAGUGCAUAAAGUGGCGCACGGGUGAGUAACACGUAAGUAAUCUACCCUCGAGUGGGGAAUAACGUCCGGAAACGGACGCUAAUACCGCAUAAUGCAGCGGCACCGCAAGGUGACAGUUGUUAAAGAUUUAUCGCUUGAGGAGGAGCUUGCGGCAGAUUAGCAGUUGGUAAGGUAAUGGCUUACCAAGGCUACGAUCUGUAACCGGUCUAAGAGGACGGUCGGUCACACUGACACUGAAUAACGGGUCAGACUCCUACGGGAGGCAGCAGUCGGGAAUUUUGGGCAAUGGGCGAAAGCCUGACCCAGC
rnacentral:rRNA from 1 species